UACGGGGGGGGCAAGCGUUGUUCGGAAUUACUGGGCGUAAAGGGUUUGUAGGUGGCCGGCUAAGUCAGACGUGAAAUCCCUCAGCUUAACUGGGGAACUGCGUCUGAAACUGAUCGGCUCGAGUGCAGGAGAGGAACGCGGAAUUCCAGGUGUAGCGGUGAAAUGCGUAGAUAUCGUAAGGAAGACCAGUGGCGAAGGCGGGUCUCUGGACAGUUCCUGACGCUGAGGCACGAAGGCCAGGGGAGCAAACGGG
rnacentral:rRNA from 1 species